rnacentral:sRNA from 1 species
UAGCAACGAAUAUUCCGUUGCUAAACUAAUUGCAAAAAUUAAAAAAAAAAAGAAAUAAGUAUUGCAACGGAACAUCCGUUGCAA